rnacentral:rRNA from 1 species
ACGCUCGACACCUACGGGAGGCAGCAGUGGGGAAUAUUGGGCAAUGGGCGCAAGCCUGACCCAGCAACGCCGCGUGAAGGAAGAAGGCUUUCGGGUUGUAAACUUCUUUUGUCAGGGAACAGUAGAAGAGGGUACCUGACGAAUAAGCCACGGCUAACUACGUGCCUGCAGCCGCGGUAAUCUGAGCGGGCUGGCAAGGC